GACUGAGCACGGUUUAAAUUCUUUAACAGCUUGCUGUACGUCAGUGAGGGUGAAAACAGACACACGCUGCGGCCUCAAAAGGCUUCAGAAUGGCUGUUUUGGCCGUUUUGUUUUCGGCUGUGAUGCUCCUUUCUGUUGUAUCAGUCCGGACCGAAAAACACUCCCUCUACUACAUAUACACAGCUUUAUCCAGACCUGUCGACCAGUCGGGCAUCUAUCAAUUCACUGCAAUGGGUUUGCUUGAUGACAGACAGAUUGACUAUUACAAUAACAUAGAUCAGAAGAAGAUUCCUAAACAGCACUGGAUGAAAGAGAAAAUGCAGGAAGAUUACUGGGAAAAAGGCACCCAGUCCAGAAAGAGCAAAGAACAGUGGUUUAAUGUGAACGUCAACAUUCUGAUGGACCGAAUGAGACACAAUAAUUCAGAUCUUCAUGUUCUUCAGUGGAGACAUGGUUGUGAAAUUGAGAUUCAGGGGAAUGAACACCGCUUUUCUAAAGGCAUUGAUGAGUACAGCUAUGAUGGAAGAAACUUCCUUUCUUUUGAUGAUGCGGAGUCUCAGUGGGUUGCCCCAGUGGACGCAGCUCUUCCAACCAAGAGGAAAUGGGAUAAUGUGCCCAUCCUAAAUCAGUACACCAAGGGCUACCUGGAAAAAGAGUGUGUGGACUGGCUCAACAAAUUCAGAGAAUACGGAGAUCAGGAGCUUAGAGACGGCUCUCCCCCAGAUGUUUAUGUGUUUGCAAGAAGGAUUAUCAGUGGCAAAAUCAAGCUAAAACUUACCUGUAUGGCCACUGGAUUCUACCCCAAAGAUAUGAUUUUGACUAUAAGGAAAUACCGCACGACACUGCCUGAUAAUGAUCUAGAUUCCUCAGGAGUUAGACCAAACCAGGAUGGGACCUUUCAGCUGAGAAAGAGCACUAACAUCUAUGAGGAUGAAAAAGCAGAAUAUGACUGUUAUGUGAACCACAGAACCCUCAAGGAACCAAUUAUCGUCAGAUGGAAUGGUGAAUACCUUUCAGAGCCUCCCAUAGCCAUCAUUGCAGCAAUAAUUGGAGUUUUGAUUCUGCUGGUAGCCAUUGGUGUAACAGUUUGGAUCUUAAAAAAGAAGAACAUAAUUGGAAAUAAGGAUGAGAAACGCUUUGUCGUAUAAACUGUUUCUGGAAAUAAGGAUGAGAAACGCUCUAUGCCAAAUGGUUCGGCCAACUAUGGUAGAGGGAGUAGUGCUUGAAGUUCAGAAAGCAGUCCUCGCUCCCAGGAAAACAUGGACAAUGUGUGAGGGAGUGCAAAAAUAAACCACCAGCUGCGGAAGGACAAUCUCUACUGAUGGAAACACUGGAAGUUGAAAAUUCCUGUUAGAUGAAGAGAAAAAAGUCUACUGAGAGAGAACUGAAGAGUUAAACAAAGUCGGAUCAUCAGAUGGUCAACAUAGAUAGCCCUGCCUUUUGUUUUUCUUAAAAUUUCUCCUAAAAUCUAGUUUUGUUCAUUAUAUAUUUUUUACAGAUGUUUUGACUUAUUAUUUCUACAUCUAAAAGAUGAAGUUGAGUGUUUUUUUUCUUUCUUGUUUUUCCCUUGAUAAUUUUCAAUGCCGAUUUAAAAAAUAUGUGCACAUUUUUAGCACCAAAAAACCCAGAGCUUAUUUGCUGAAUGUAUCAUAAAAUGAUCCUCAAUGCUCUAUAAAAAAUUGAAAAUGUUUUCUUCAGUUUUUCACUCUAAAAGGGUUGUUUUAUAUUAGUUGCUUAAUUUAGAUUUAAUUUUCAGCUUUUAUAUAAAUAAUUAUGAGUGAUCUUGUAUUAUUUCUUCAUAAUAAGAUGCAUCAGUGUUAAGGAUAUUUUCUUGUUAUUAAGUUAUUCUGUUCCUUAUUAAAGUUAUAGCAUACAUGUGGUGUAUUCUAUAGCUGUCAUUUGUAGUGCUUUUACAAAAAAGGUAAAGUUGGUUUUUAUAUUCAGACAUUCUGACUUUCUCCCUAAUAAUGCAACUGCAGAAAAGUAUUCUUUGCAAAUUCUGAAUAGUGAAAUCAUAUUAGCAGCCAACGACUAUCAAAGUACAAUAUUGCUCACAGUCAAAUAAAUAGAGCUAAUGUUGUUUUGAAGUCAUACUUGCAUGAGAUUUCAAGCCAAACAUUUAUAGGGAGCAUUUCACGAGUUGUUACUGAACGAAUGCGUAAAUAUAAAACAAACUUUACCUUAAUAUAUAGUUUUGGCUUUGUUUAAAAUCUGAGCAUCUUGUGAAUUUUGCACUUUCUUCACAAUAAAGUGGUUUUAAAAAAGAG